GAUUAUGGCUCAGAACGAACGCUGGUGGCGUGUCUUAUACAUGCAAGUCGAGCGAGGCAGCAAUGCCGAGCGGCGAACGGGUGAGUAACGCGUAAGCAAUCUGCCCCAUAUCAGGAAAUACCCGUGCCAACGCGCGGUUAAUGUCCAGGAGAGUGGCCCUCUGCAUGGAGGGUUGACUAGAGAUUUAUCGGUAUGGGAUGAGCUUGCGUCCGAUUAGCUAGUUGGCGGGGCAACGGCCCACCAAGGCGACGAUCGGUAGCCGGCCUGAGAGGGUGAUCGGCCACAUUGGGACUGAGAUACGGCCCAGACUCCUACGGGAGGCAGCAGUAGGGAAUAUUGCACAAUGGGGGAAACCCUGAUGCAGCAACGCCACGUGUGGGAAGAAGCAUUUCGGUGUGUAAACCACUGUCAUGAGGGAAUAAGGCCCGCCUUCGGACGGGAUUGAAUGUACCUUGAGAGGAAGCACCGGCAAACUUCGUGCCAGCCGCCGC
rnacentral:rRNA from 1 species